UACUACAAGCUGAAAUCACUAAAGAGCUAAAAUCACUAAGAGCUGAAAUCACUGAGUGAGUGGGGGGGGCCUGAAGCUAUGUUGCUGAGCGGCUGGCGGAGUGGAGCAGUUUGCGGGACGACUGGAGCGGCUCGUGGGACAGCUGGUGGAGCGGAGCAGCUGGUGGAGCGGAGCAGUUAGUGGAACAGCUGGAGCAGCUCACGGGAAGGCUGGUGGUGCGGAACGGCUGGUGAGGGUUGCAGCAGAACCCCAUGGAGAGGCAGAGCAGUCGGCCUCGGACCACAAAUGCUUCAUAAAAUGACUUUAUCUCAGUUUGCAAGGGAUGCCCUAAUCUUCAUUCCUUUGGAGAUUACUGAUCCAGCUGGCAGCACACCAAACCUGGCUGAGGCAGGAAGCUCAUCUCUGAGGCGAGAACUAAAACAAAUUCCAAGUCUCCAAGCAAGGUUGAGAUGCAAUUAGGAUAUUCUACAAUCUUGGGACUUUCUCCAGCUCUCACUGAAGGAACAUGAAGAUAAACAUCUGAUUCAGUCUGUGGAGGAGCAGUUUUGUACUUCUGGAUGUAUAUGUAGAAGAGUAUGGAACACAGUAUAAAAUCUGCAACUAGAAGAUUUAAAGCCCUAUUUGAAGAGCUUUGGAAAUUAGCUGGAGAAGACUACACAAUUUUGCAUUUGAUGAUAGCCAGUUUCUUAUCAAUUUCACUUUCAAUUCUCCGGGUUAUGUUUGAGUUGAAAACUCCAGAGGAAAAAGAAAGGUGCCUCUUUGGAACCCAGUCCACAGUGUAAGAAGUCUGCAACAUUGUAGCUGAAAGCCCAGCUGUGCUUGAGAGAGAAGG